rnacentral:lncRNA from 1 species
GCUGCAACCACGCCAAAUAUGGUGGGCAACAAUUUAGAAGAAAAUUCAAAGCUUAGGACACUUUCAUCACGUUGCUGCCUAUAAUUGUGUUUGUAUGUAUAGACAAUUUCGUUGUAGCUGGAAUUCAACACAUCUGGGCGAUAUUAAAUCACACACAAAACGUGGUUAAUUUGAUUGGAGGCGAUUAGCGAAUUUGCUAUCGCUGAAUUCACAGGAAAUUGUUACAAGUUCUUGGAAUUAGAACAAGCUCUGAAACAAAGAUUCUUGCAUUUGGAGUUCCGGUACCGGCGUGUUGGCGGUCUGAGGUUGUCACCUCACCUGUCUUAGCCUGUGUCUGGCCUGUGUAUGUAACAGGAUAAUGAAUGUACCUCAGGGUACCUCAUGGGAUAUAGAUUUGUUUCCCGAAAUUCGGACCCAUCUGGAAACAAAACUGAGAGAAAGCGAAGCCUCAGUCCACAAGAUGUUCAUCCUUAUCAAGACUCCGACUUCGAAGCGAGCGAUUUCCGAGGUGAAGAUAAGGACAAAAAAUCCAAAGUCGCAUUUGGAUUUCGACUUCGACGAUGAUGCCCUGAGCAAAGAAUACGAAAAAUUAAACCGUCUGUCCGAGAUGCUAACGAAGAGUAAAUAUCAGUUAAAAUCGAAUGAUAAAGCAACAAAUGAGCGCUUGGAUUGACUGGAAAACGAUGUGAAGAAAAUCUCCAAGGCAAUUGAUAAUUUGAAAGAUGCAGUAAAAAAGUUAACUGCUGUAAAAACCACUUUAGUUUUACAGGAUGACAAAUUGCCUAAGAAGUCAUUAAUAAGUCCAACUACAGCUAAAAAGGAGACUGAAAACGCAGCAAUGUGGCAGAAUGAGGUUAAUUUAAUGAAUAUGAAAGCUCAACCAAAAGAGCCAGCAAAUGUGCAAUUAAUUUGCUUAACCACUUGUGUAGUCAAAGCGAACUCCAGGACAGGAUUUUGUUUAAAUCGAAAAAAUCAACGAAAACACCCCUAGAUGCCGAGGGGUCACUAAACUGUUUGCAGUUAUUGCCACUUAAAACACAAAAAAAGCCGCGCAAAAGGGAUUGGUACAAAAUCAUUGAUGUGACGUCACAAUAGCAACUGGUUUGACUCAUUCAUAUUACAAAAAGAAGAAAGAUGGCGGCGCAAAAAAUGCACGCAAAUAUAAAUAUGCCCAAUAGAUGGAUUGUUGGGGGUUGCUCUAAUACCUCUAAUCCGGAAAAGGAAUUUUUCUUCAUUUUAUACCGUUUCCUGGUGACGAAAGGCCAGAACCAAAAAAAAAGACGAAAGCAGAGGAUUGAUUUCGUGCUGUUGAAGAGGGAAAAUUGUAUCUGACUCCAAAUUUUACAAGAAAGAUUUCACACAAAUGUUUUCUGGUUUCUCUGGUGAGGUAUAGCGGUUAGCCACCGAUGAAAAUGGCGUUGUGCAUGGCAGCCCCUAAGUGUCACGAAGUAACAACGGAAGUCAAACCUUCGUCUGCAAGAGCUAGGAGAAUGAUAAGUUCACAAACAACGUUUCGACUGGGACAGACGGUUGUGUUGGUUGUGUCGGUUGUGCGUAUUUACUAAAAGAAAAACGGAAGACUGGGAACAAGUAUAUAGCGCUUAAAAGCAAAUACGAUGAAUUGGUGUUAAAGUUAAACAUUCCAAAGAUCUCUAUGCAAUAUUCCUUCUCCGUGAAGAAAUGCAAGUCCAGCAAAGAUAUCUUUGAUCAUUUUUCGCCCAUGCCUUUGCAAAUGAUCAGUGGAAAGAGAACAAACGUACUUAUCCAGUGUCUUUUCACAGAGAUCAAGAAUGAGCUACUUCACUGCCGUCUUGCAAAAUCCCGACAUAGACAAACGUCCCUGAAGAGCCACAUCCAAGAGUGAAGGAUUUUUGCGCAGA